AACUCCUCCCAAGAAUCUCUCUUGCUCCUUAUAUUAACUUGGCGACUAGACAUGUUAAAAAAUAUUAUUUUUUUGUGAAACUGAAGCUCCUUGCUGUAACCCAUUAUAUGACUUUAUGAGCAUGCACGACUUUCAGGUUAUGAAGAAAUGGGGUGCUCCAAACAAGAUCGACUUCCUCUCUCUUUCUUAUACAAGGCAUGCAGAAGAUGGCAAGCACGGGAGUUCCUCUCAAAGUUAGGUGAUCUUAAUUGAACUCUGUUUUUUUGCCGAAAUUGAGAAUGUGGAGGGCUUGAACCAUUUUGAUGAGAUCCUGGAAGAAGCAGAUGGUAUAAUUCUGUCAAGGGGAAACCUUGGAAUUGAUCUUCCACCUGAAAAGGUGUUCUUAUUUCAGAAGUCUGCUCUGCACAAGUGCAACAUGGCUGGAAAGCCUGCUCUUGUUACUCGUGUUGUGGACAGUAUGACGGACAACCUAAGGACUACUCGUGCGGAGGCAACUGAUGUGGCAACGCGGUGCUGGACGGAUAUGCUUCCCACUAAAGCACCAGCAAUAGCCAAGAAGAUUGAAGAAAUCCAAUGAAAGUUCUGAUUCUGAAAGCUCUGACUCUAAGAAGCCAGCUACUGAAGUGAAGAAUUCUGCGGUUGCUACUGCACAAAAGAAAAACCAGGAAUUUGAUGGCUCUGAUAGUGAUUCUGAUGAUUUAUCAGAUGAGGAUAUGGCCACUAAAAAACCAGUAGCCAAGAAAGUGGUAGGAUCCAGUGAAAGUUCCGAUUCUGGCUCUGAGGAGGACACCACUGCUAAACCAGUUCAAUCUUCCAAGUCUGUUGCUGUUAUAAAGAAUCUAAUGAUAGCUCAGAUUCUGAUGAACCAGCAAAAUCUACUAUUCCUUCUAAGAGGCCUCUGACAACAGAGAAAAAGAAUGAACAUUCCAAGGAUGAUUCUGAUGAUAGUUCUGAUGAGAGUGAUGACCCUGCACUAAAGAAGCCUAAGGAUUCAUCUUCUGGUAGUGCCAAGCCAGUCUCUAUGGUUGCCAAGAAAGAAAGCAGUGGUGAUGAUGACAGUUCUGAAGAGAGCUCCAGCAGUGAUGAUGAAAACGAUCAAUCAAUGUCAAUGGCAAAGUCCAAGCAGAACGAAGAAUGAAGAUCUGAAUCACCCUCACCGCUCUAGAGAAAUCGGUUUACUCAUUCAAGUUCUAGAAAUUCUUUAUAACUUUCUGAGUUUACUUUGGUCCUGCAUGUGUUAGCUUUCUGUUUGUGCCCCUUUCUAUAUCUGUUUCUUGUGUGCAAGCGCUCCAUUCUGUUGUGUGUGACUGUGUGACAUUUUGUGUGUGUUGCUUGACUCUCUCUGUGUGUGUGUGUGGCUUGACUAUGUGUGACUUGAUGGUGAAUAUGUGUGUGGCUUGACUGCGUGUGUGCUUGACUCUCUGUGUGUGACUGUGUGUGUGUGUGUGUGUGUGUGACUGUGUGAAUAUUGUAUUUGCUUGAUGGUGUGGUUUGUAUGCUUGGUUGAAUGAUUGGUUGUGUAUAACUUGUGUUUUAUAUUUGUUGUGGCCUAACACUGCCUUUGCCGGUCCCAAGCCCGGGUGUGAAAAUGUGGAGGGAGCUGCAGUUACCUUCUUUGUAUUGCAUUACGAGUGUCGAUAGAAAUUACACAGUUUAGGUUACUGUCCUAAUCGGCUUGACUGUGUGUGACUUGAUGGUGAAUAUGUGUGUGGCUUGACUGUGUGUGUGCUUGACUCUCUGUGUGUGACUGUGUGUGUGUGCUUGACUCUCUGUGUGUGACUGUGUGUGUGUGUGUGUGACUGUGUGAAUAUUGCAUUUGCUUGAUGGUGUGGUUUGUAUGCUUGGUUGAAUGAUUGGUUGUGUAUAACUUGUGUUUUAUAUUUGUUGUGGCCUAACACUGCCUUUGCCGGUCCCAAGCCCGGGUGUGAAAAUGUGGAGGGAGCUGCAGUUACCUUCUUUGUAUUGCAUUACGAGUGUCAAUAGAAAUUACAGAGUUUAGGUUACUGUCCUAAUCGGCUUGACUGUGUAUGACUUGAUGGUGAAUAUAUGUGUGGCUUGACUGUGUGUGUGCUUGACUCUCUGUGUGUGACUGUGUGUGUGUGUGUGUGUGACUGUGUGAAUAUUGCAUUUGCUUGAUGGCGUGGUUUGUAUGCUUGGUUGAAUGAUUGGUUGUGUAUAACUUGUGUUUUAUAUUUGUUGUGGCCUAACACUGCCUUUGCCGGUCCCAAGCCCGGGUGUGAAAAUGUGGCGGGAGCUACAGUUACCUUCUUUGUAUUGCAUGACGAGUGUCGAUAGAAAUUAUGCAGUUUAGGUUACUGUCCUAAUCGAAUAGUGAAUCUUAACAUAAUUUGAAAUGUCCAUGCUAUAAACUUACUGAUUCCUUUCUGAAGUUUUACGGGGUCAGUGUUUUUCUUAUACGAUACCAAUGGGAAGCGAGUAGCUAAGAAUCUAGGCUUAUAAGGGUUCGAUUUUUCUCCCUUUUUGAUUUUUUUUACGGUGCCUUCUCAGCAUGACGUGUGUGGUGCUUUGGUUUUACUUCUGUGCGUGGUUUUUUUAGGUGGUGAGGUCUGCACGUACAACACGUUUUGGAUUUGUUUUAGAGUCCACCGCUUUGACUGUCUCCUGACGCUCUGACUGUUUCCAUCUUAGGUGACGUGUGCUUUCUGGUUUUGAUUGUGUCUCCUUGUUUGCCACGUAUCAGUUUUGUAUGUCGGAUUGUUUGGGCCGAUUUUUCUGGGCCACGUAUCAGCCUUUCUUUUUUCUUCUGCUGCCUAUAAAUAAGCUAUUCUGGAGGCCUUAUUUCUCGGUUUCUAGAUUCUUUGCUUUGGGUUCUUGCAGUUCGGUGUGCUGAUCGGCUGCCUUCUUCAGUUCGUGCUUCUGGUCGAUCUGUUCCAAGUCGCUCUGAAUAUAUUCCUGGUGCUACUUCUGGCGGUGGAUCUUCCAGUCGAUCUGUUCUAAGUGCCGCUUAAUAUGUUCCUGUUUUGGAUCCUAAUGAAGCGCACCGGUGUCGGCAUGAGAUUCGACGUGGGAAGCUUCCUAUUUAUUUAUACAAUCACGGUCCAUUGGCUGGAGUCGAGGAAAUUCUCAAGCAUAAAAUGGCAUCUUCUUACUCAGCAUGAUUUUAAAGAAGUUGGUAUUGAAUUUAUGGAUUUGUAUAGCUACCUGAUCCCGGUAUAUGAAAUUGAGCCUCUUGAGAAAAUUACUGAUGUACAAAAUUGACCGACAUGAUGAAGUCGAAGCAGCACGGAUGGCAGCAAUCAACCAGGAAAUUAAACGUGUGUUGACAGACCUUCUUCUGAAGGUUACUGAUGAUCUUUUUAAUGAGAUCGCAACCAAAGUUAUCAAUGAAGAUGAUUCAUCAGCUGAACAAAAUGAGACCACUGGUGUCUCUAGCUCAAAGGAGCUUGGUCUGGGAGAAUCAGAAGUCAAGACCACAUCUGUACUGGUCGAUCUGAUGGUCCUGGGCUAAGUUCUCCUAAAGGUUCUCUUCUUGGUCUUGCUAAUUAUGAUUCAGAUGAUGAGGGUGAUGGUGAUGGUAAGGGUUUAAUUCCAAAUUUAUCAUCUGAAAUUAAAGUUGGUGCAGCUCAUCCUAAAGAAAGUAAGUUCUUGAAAAACACAAAGUUGACAUGGUUUCCCAGAAUUUAUUUUCUAAAGGAAGAGCUUAUCAUUAACUUUCUGAGUUUACUUCGGUCUUGCAUGUAUUAGCUUUCUGUUUUUGCCCCUAUCUAUGUCUGUUUCUUUCCAUUUCUUGUGUGCACGCGCUUCAUUGUGUUUGUAUGUGUGACUGCGUGUGUGAUGUACCCCUAUCUAUGUCUCUCUGUCUGUUUCUUGUGUGCAAGUGCUACAUUGUGUGUGUGACUGUGUGUGAUGUGCCCCUAUCUAUGUCCCUUUCUUGUGUGCAAGCGCUUGAUUGAGUGUGUGCUUGUGUGACUCUGUGUGUAUUGCAGUUGCUUGAUGGUGUGACUUGUAUGCUUUGCUGAAUGAUUGGUGUGUUUUGUGUUGUUGUGGUUUAACACUGCCUUUGCCGGUCCCAAGCCUGGAUGCGAAAAUGUGGAGGGAGCUGCAGUUACCUCCAUUGUGUUUGUAUGUGUGACUGUGUGUGAUGUACCCCUAUCUAUGUCUCUCUGUCUGGUUCUUGUGUGCAAGUGCUACAUUGUGUGUGUGACUGUGUGUGUUGUGCCCCUAUCUAUGUCCGUUUCUUGUGUGCAAGCGCUUGAUUGAGUGUGUGCUUGUGUGACUCUGUGUGUAUUGCAUUUGCUUGAUUGUGUGGCUUGUAUGCUUUGCUGAAUGAUUGAUGUGUUUU